rnacentral:lncRNA from 1 species
AUGAGCUGUAACACUCACUGCAAAGGUCUGUGGCUUCACUCCUGAGGUCAGCAAGACCACGAACCCACUGGGAGGAACAAACAACUCCAGACGCACCACGUUUAAGAGCUGUAACACUCACUGCGAUGGUCUGUGGCUUCACUCCUGAAGUCAGCAAAACCACGAACCCACUAGAAGGAAGAAACUCCGGACACAUCUGAACAUCUGAAGGAAAAAACUCCGGACACACCAUCUUUAAGAACUGUAACACUCACUGCAAGGGUCCAUGGCUUCAUUCUUGAAGUCAGCGAGAACAAGAACCUACCAGAAGGAAUAAAUUCCGGACACAGAAGAAAGAGGAGAAAGGCAAUAGAAACAUUUUUCCAUCUGCUGAAAAGUCUAGAAGCAAUCACCAGCUCAGAAGCAAUGGGCACUGCAAGUGCCCAGAUGGCAGUUUUGGAAUACCAGUUUCCACUAAAAAAAAAAAAAAAAAAAAAAAAGGGACAGUUCAGUGAAAUGAUUUAUUUUAGAUCUGGAGCAGGAAGUGUACAACACGAG